rnacentral:lncRNA from 1 species
ACAUUGCUUGGCUGAAGCCCCAGUCCUCCAGAUGAGUUGAUCCCAAAUCCCACACAUGAAUUUUUGGUGUUUCAUACAUAUGCUUGUGACAGUGGCCUCAAUGGAGAUUUGAUUAACUUGGGCUAAAUCACCCAUUCUACCCUUCACCAAACUUUGUAAGCACAUGAGCUCUAUAGCUGCAAUUGAGCUAAAGAAUUGUUUGCUACCUCGCCAACGCACUGACUCAGGCUAAAUUCCCCCAUGC